rnacentral:lncRNA from 1 species
GGGUCCUUCACUUUACCAAGGAGUCUGAUGAGGAUAGGCAGGAAGCUCUUCAAAUGGCAAGGACUCCUCUUUGUUCUGAAAGCACUUAGAGGUACUUUGAAAGGUGGUCUGUAUUCUGCCACAGUGUAGUCCACUAAAGCAGGACAGAUUCCACACCAUGUGUGUAUGCGCUUUUCUGGGUCUGUUUGCUGCCAUGUCUGACUGCUCUGUUAUCUUCAAUAUGAUCUUACAACUAUAUGGAAGAUUGAGCUGUGGCUCCAAUGACUACAGUGAGCAUGGCUACUGUGAUUGUGGUCCUAUGGGGAACAUUUGCCAACAACUGAGCGACUCAGACCUGGCUGCAGAGCCAAGGUCCUCCAAUAGGCAUGUGGGCUGGAUGCCAGAGGAGACUUAGCUCAGGGACCUCACACAUUUCUCAUGGAAUGGAGAGCUUAUUUCAACCAACCACCUCAGCCCCGCUAACUGCUGACUUCCCACUUUCUCUAAAUGAGAAACGUGAAGGCAUGUUUGUAUGUUUUAGAUAGUUGUAAGCAUUUUUCAGUGGCUAACUUGCAAUUCGGUCCUUCCUUUGCGUUGGGUUGCUUCAUACCAAAUGCUGCUUUGAAUGUGCUGGAGCCUUACCUAGGUUAGUGUACAUUUAUUCACACAUUAUGAAAAAGAUUCAAUGUGAAGGAAAUGAAGGGACACAGUGUGGUCAUUAUACCGUUCAGAAUAAACACUGUGCGGCCAGUGUC